AUUCCUCCUCUUCCCCACCAGGGGAGGGGACUGCUCCGAUUCUUCCUUCUUCCCCAUCAGGAGCUGAAUCAUCUAUUCUCAGGUGACUUCCCAUAAAGUGCAUAAGAGGGAGAGGAGUUUGGUGUAUUUUGGGAAUCACUUCGGACGAGUGUCGAGAGGAAGCUGACGGGAGGAAGGAGGGAAAGCCAAUCAUUAUGGGAGCCCGCUGCUGUGCUGCUGCUGCCGUC
rnacentral:lncRNA from 1 species